AGCUUCGAUCACAGGAAAAGUCUCACACUUUCACUCAAGAGACACUCGGACCCAAACCCUCAGAUGGAUGCACGGGCUGAGCCCUGCCCUUUGCCAUCACUGCUGAUCCCCGCGGUGAAAGCGACCAACGCUGAGCACAUGCCGCAAGGAGCAGCACCGAGGGAGUUGGGACUCCAGCUGGAUGCCUGUGCACGACCUUUUCUGGCGAGGGCAGGGGACGGGGACGCGUGGAUUCCACGGCGAAGGGGUCACCUAGAAAGGCCGCGCUUCAGCACAGGGCUUCUGAGGAGACCGAGACAUCCACCUCACCACUGGAAACUCACAUGCAAGAGGAUUACCUGAAGCCAUGAGAGCUGGUAAAGGAAGCCUGCAGCUGCAUCUGAACAGCAUUGCUCAAGGGCUCUGAAACUAGAAAAGUUUCCCAGUGUGCUGCUCUGUGGGAUUCUGUUAUCAUUUAUCUGUGUUUGUUGUGCUGUCCAGGAGUGGAGUCCCUUAAUGUUAAAAGCCCUGUAGAAACAGAACACACCCCAGAUUGUGACUAUGUGGGGAUUAAACAAUUUGUUAUCUCAGUUUCAUUUCCAGGCCUUUUCCCCUGAUUGCUGAUUGUGAGAUCCAAGCAAAGCUUUUUGUUCUCUUGAGUUUUCUUAUAAGGUCACUCCCCUUCUGAUGCCCUUGUGCUCUCUAAGGGCUGAGCUCGUGCUGCAGCUUUUCCUUCAGUCCUGGUGCUUUUGGGGACAUUUCUCCCAGUC